UUGAACGCUGGCGGCAUGCUUUACACAUGCAAGUCGAACGGUAACGGGCCUUCGGGUGCUGACGAGUGGCGAACGGGUGAGUAAUGCAUCGGAACGUACCCAGAGGUGGGGGAUAACGCAGCGAAAGCUGUGCUAAUACCGCAUGUGAUCUGAGGAUGAAAGCGGGGGACCGAGCAGCAAUGUUUGGCCUCGCGCCUUUGGAGCGGCCGAUGUCGGAUUAGCUAGUUGGUGGGGUAAAGGCCUACCAAGGCGACGAUCCGUAGCUGGUCUGAGAGGACGACCAGCCACACUGGGACUGAGACACGGCCCAGACUCCUACGGGAGGCAGCAGUGGGGAAUUUUGGACAAUGGGCGCAAGCCUGAUCCAGCAAUGCCGCGUGCGGGAAGAAGGCCUUCGGGUUGUAAACCGCUUUUGGCAGGAACGAAACGGUGUCCGCUAAUACCGGGCGCUAAUGACGGUACCUGCAGAAUAAGCACCGGCUAACUACGUG
rnacentral:rRNA from 1 species